rnacentral:rRNA from 1 species
AUGGCCGACAACUUGAAGCCCGUGGCCCUCUUCCUGCUGAUGCUCAACUUGUGCAUGUACCUCAUCCUCGCCAUCAUCGGCGGGUGGGCCGUCAACUUGGCCAUCGACCGCGGCUUCAUCAUAGGCCCCGAGCUGCGUCUCCCGGCGCAUUUCCACCCGAUAUUCUUCCCCAUCGGGAACUGGGCCACCGGCUUCUUCGUGGUGUUCGCGCUGCUCGCCGGCGUUGUCGGCGCGGCCUCCUGCAUCGUCGGCUUCACCCACGUCCGCUUCUGGAACUACAGCAGCCUGCAGCCCGCGGCGUCGCUCGGUCUGCUCGCCUGGGCGCUCACCGUCCUAGCCAUGGGGCUGGCUUUCCAGGAGAUCAGUUUCGACCGAAGAAACGCGAAGCUGGGGACCAUGGAGGCGUUCACGAUCGCCCUCUCACUGACGCAGCUCGUCUACAUCCUCGCGAUCAAGGCGGGUGGCCACGGGCCCGUCCAGGUCGAACGGCACAACGCCUUGGGCCGCUGA